rnacentral:lncRNA from 1 species
AGUCCUAAACUGUUCAUCCUAUCCUGCCUUACCCUUCUCUCAGAAACCCCAACAAAGGCCAUGCCUUACAACUUACCUUGCUCCUGUUUCUGCCUCCUGACCACUCUGGUCUUCCCCAUGUUGCCAUGUAUGGCAUGCCUCCUGUCUCUAGGACCUAUGCAGCAAAAGAGAAAAACAAUGAAAGUCUGUAUUAGUAACCAGAAAAACGGUCAGAAGUCUGAGGUACCUGAGAGAAGACAGCAAAAUGAGAUCUGGAAUUUGAGGAGCACCUGUUAGGAGAAGAGCCAUCUCUACUACUCCCCAAAAGAUUCCCUGUUCUAGUUGGCCUUCUAUAUUGGUGGUUUCUGAAUACAUACCCCAAAGAACCUGAGCAUCAGUGAAUUCUGGUAUCUUCUGGGAGCCCUGGAACUAAUCUCUUGAAGAUACCAACGGAUGACUGUGUUUUAAAAGGCGAGAGAGAGAUGUCACUCAGGACUGCUUCCGAAGGAGUUUCCCUUGAAGCUUGCUUCACUGUCUGACUCCUUUCAUACAAGUGGGUAACAUGCCCUUCAUUCAGAACCAAACCUGUGCCCUGGCUUGGUAUAUUUCCUCCACCUGCUGAGCAUCCUCUCACCCUCUACUUUUACCUGGAAGAAAGAAGACAAUAAUAUCUACCAAUCAAGAUGCUGUACCUGAAGCAGAAGAUAACCUGGCAAAGAAAAGAGUAUAGUGCUGCCUUCAGGGAACUCCUAGUCUAGGGGAAGACAGCCAAUAAUCACAUAACUGCUCUAAUCAAAUAUUUCACCAAAAUAAAGUAUUAGCCACCUCCUAGAAUCCAGGCUCUGUUGUAAGUGCUGAGGAUACGGCAAUGAACAUAAAUGCCUAAACUCUGCAGUGUUGGUGCUCACAUUCUUG